rnacentral:rRNA from 1 species
CACGUAGGGCGCAAGCGUUGUCCGGAAUUAUUGGGCGUAAAGAGCUCGUAGGCGGCUUGUCGCGUCGACUGUGAAAACCCGUGGCUCAACCAUGUGGUCUGCAGUCGAUACGGGCAGGCUAGAAUUCGGUAGGGGAGACUGGAAUUCCUGGUGUAGCGGUGAAAUGCGCAGAUAUCAGGAGGAACACCGGUGGCGAAGGCGGGUCUCUGGGCCGAUAUUGACGCUGAGGAGCGAAAGCGUGGGGAGCGAACAGG